rnacentral:rRNA from 1 species
UGGGGAAUUUUCCGCAAUGGGCGAAAGCCUGACGGAGUGACGCCGCGUGGGGGACGAAGGCCUUCGGGUUGUAAACCCCUGUCAGAGGGAAAGAAGGGUGUCGGCGCGAUAACCGCCGGCACUUGACGGUACCUUCAGAGGAAGCCCCGGCCAACUCUGUGCCAGCAGCCGCGGUAAUACGUAGGUGGCAAGCGUUGUCCGGAUUUACUGGGCGUAAAGGGCGUGCAGGCGGUUCGUUAAGUUCGAGGUGAAAGCUCCCGGCUCAACUGGGAGAGGUCCCCGGAUACUGGCGGACUUGAGGGAGGCAGAGGAAAGUGGAAUUCCCGGUGUAGUGGUGAUAUGCGUAGAUAUCGGGAGGAACACCAGUGGCGAAGGCGGCUUUCUGGGCCUACCCUGACGCUGAGGGGCGAAAGCGUGGGGAGCAA